AGCAUCUCCAGAGGUCAGGGCAGUAUGUGCUCAGUGUUCAGGAACCGGGCUGAGGGUCAGCUUUGGGCAGGCUGGGGAGAGGGAAGCAGCGCUCUGGUCUGCGCUAGUAGUGAAGGCACAGGCAGGGACACUGUUCCCUGUGCAGGGCUCAGCUUGCUUUGCUCUUCAUUCCAAAUAGCACAGGGUGGAGCUUGUCAGUGCUCCUGUCUGACCAAACGACUUUGUUUCUUGCCAGGGAGAAGUGGAAAAGAUUGAACUACAAAACAAAAAUUUGCUUAAAGAAAAGGAGGAUCUGCAAGCAAGCUGUGCAGGUCUCCAGAAACAAAACAGCGAUCUGCAGGAAGAGCUCAGGAACACACAGGACAAUUUAGUGUCUCUGAGGAGCAACACAGAGAAACUGGAGCUGGAGCUGAAUGCCCUGGAAAAGGAAAAGCAACAUCUAAAGGAGCUGGAUGACUGUAGAAAGGCAGAACUGCACGAGCUCAAAGCGCAAAUUCAGAAUGUGACCUCUGACAAGGAACAACUGGACACGAGACUGAAAACAGCCCUGGAUCACAUGGAUCAGCUGCAGUCUCAGGUGUUGAGUUAUGAGAAAGAAGUGGAAAACUUGUCUCUCGUGGACCGUGACAAGGCAAAGAAGCUCGAACAUUUAAAGAAGGAGAAUCAGCAGUUACGCAUGAGUCGAAGUCAACAGCAACAGAACUCAAUGAAAGAACUUGAGGAGCAGAAGCGUUUUGUUCAGGUUCUGCAGGCAAGAAAGAAUGAAGCUGAUGAGGAAAAGCGGAAACUAAAAGAAAAGAAUAACGGGCUCCUGAGGCUUCUCUCGCAGGUUUCUUCACAAACUCAAACUUCAGUUCCAGCUUCUGAACUAGGAGAUCUUCUGUUUGGAAAUCCAUAUUAUGCUCCAGGAAUAAACCUGUUGGCAGAAGCUGCAGACAUAGCUUCUCUAAGGAAAUGUCCCAUGUGCAAUGGUGUAUUUCCUGAAGAUACUGAGACAAAUCAGUAUGAGACCCAUGUGCACAGCCAUCUUCUGGAGUGCCCGUUCUGCAGCUAGACCUUUGCAAAGUCCAAUAAGCGGGUGUUUGAUGACCAUGACCUGCAAUAAUUCUGAAUUUAUAUCUGCUCUGUAGAAUAAGUGGCAGAGGCUGCAGUAUAGAAUAGACCACAAUCACUGUGUAGGCUCAAUUCAUGCUAAGAUCACCCAAACAAGACUAGUUAUACCACUAGUACUGUAAUUCUGAGCUUUCUGUGCCAGGUAGCCUAUGACCAACACAUAAAUCAGGUCAGAUGUGCACACCCUGAAACUGAACCACCGCCAUCAGAUUUAAGUCCUCUGUCUUGCAUCCGAGUAUAUGUGCUUGUUAAAUGAGUUACAAGUCCUAUAAUUAGUAAUUUAGUUGGAAUGUGGUACCAGUUCUUUAGAACAGGAUUGGCCAUGUAACUGUUCAUUCAGGUAGGGAUCCAAGUGAUGGGGUGCAGUACAGCAGUUUUCUGUAUUUGGCUGAUGCACCUGCAUUAUAAUGGGUUUAUUCUUUAAUACAGCGCUGUGAUUGCUAACCAAAGACCAGGAACACUGUAUAAUCACACUUUCAGUCCUGCCCAGCAGAAUUAAUUAUUAAUAAGUAAAAAAGCCUGAAUCAAAAUACAUCUUUCACCGUCAGUCAUAAAGCAAGUGAAAGAUAGAUGGUUAUAAAGAGACUAAAUAUCUACUUGCAGAUCUGAAGGACACAGCUUACUGGAAGGUGAGGCACCAUCCAUCUCAGAAUGAGGAAAACCUGAAAUUUCUGAAGUGGGGAAGGUCACUGUGGUGUGGAGCCCACAGGGGAGCAGUAGCUGAGUUGUCUUGGCAGCACAGAGGAUAAAUAGCCUCUCAAUCAGAAAUUGGGCAUCCUCAUUUAAAAGAAAUUAUAAAAUUAAUUAUUUCUCUUUCAUGUUUCUAAACCUUCUUGAUUUAACAAGAAGAAGCUGUUCUCAAACCAAAACAUUGUGAUUCAAAACUAAGUGCCUUGGGAUAUUAGUGCUUUGUGCACAGGUUAUCCAGUUACUAUUUUUAUUUCUGCUUCAGAAUUUUCUAUUUAUUAUUAACAGCUCUUUUUUUUCCAUGCAAACACAAAUGGGGAAAGAUUUAAUAUCCCAACUAUAUUAGACUGUUUCCUGCUGAAUAGCUGAAGCAAUAGAAAAUGUUGAGAAGUUUAUACAGAGUUUUAAGAAUAUUGAGAGUAACAAAGGCUUCAAAAUACUUUACUGUUUGGUUUCUACACAAACUUUUUAUCUGUCUAGGUUUAAAUAGAGUAUUUCUCUCUUGAGGUGUACUAUACUAGUAAACAUUAUUUAUAAAACCUGUAAAAGAAAAUAAGAGCAAAAAAAAUCAAAGCUAUAUGGAUAAAACCUUUAAAAAAGAUGUCUGUGUUCAUUCUUAAAGAAAUAAAUUGGAGGAUCUGAUGGGGUCUUAAG
ensembl:lncRNA